GACGAACCAUCCAAACGUUAUUCGGAAUUACUGGGCUUAAAGGUGCGUAGGCUGCGCAGAAAGUUGGGUGUGAAAUCCCUCGGCUUAACCGAGGAACUGCGUCCAAAACUACUGUGCUUGAGGGAGACAGAGGUGAGCGGAACUUAGGGUGGAGCGGUGAAAUGCGUUGAUAUCCUAAGGAACACCUGUGGCGAAAGCGGCUCACUGGGUCUCUUCUGACGCUGAGGCACGAAAGCUAGGGGAGCGAACGGGAGUAGAAA
rnacentral:rRNA from 1 species